GAUGAACGCUAGCUACAGGCUUAACACAUGCAAGUCGAGGGGCAGCAUUUUAGUUUGCUUGCAAACUAAAGAUGGCGACCGGCGCACGGGUGAGUAACACGUAUCCAACCUGCCGAUAACUCGGGGAUAGCCUUUCGAAAGAAAGAUUAAUAUCCGAUGGUAUAUUAAAACCGCAUGGUUUUACUAUUAAAGAAUUUCGGUUAUCGAUGGGGAUGCGUUCCAUUAGUUUGUUGGCGGGGUAACGGCCCACCAAGACUACGAUGGAUAGGGGUUCUGAGAGGAAGGUCCCCCACAUUGGAACUGAGACACGGUCCAAACUCCUACGGGAGGCAGCAGUGAGGAAUAUUGGUCAAUGGACGAGAGUCUGAACCAGCCAAGUAGCGUGAAGGAUGACUGCCCUAUGGGUUGUAAACUUCUUUUAUAUGGGAAUAAAGUAUUCCACGUGUGGGAUUUUGUAUGUACCAUAUGAAUAAGGAUCGGCUAACUCCGUGCCAGCAGCCGCGGUAAUACGGAGGAUCCGAGCGUUAUCCGGAUUUAUUGGGUUUAAAGGGAGCGUAGGUGGAUUGUUAAGUCAGUUGUGAAAGUUUGCGGCUCAACCGUAAAAUUGCAGUUGAAACUGGCAGUCUUGAGUACAGUAGAGGUGGGCGGAAUUCGUGGUGUAGCGGUGAAAUGCUUAGAUAUCACGAAGAACUCCGAUUGCGAAGGCAGCUCACUAGACUGCAACUGACACUGAUGCUCGAAAGUGUGGGUAUCAAACAGGAUUAGAUACCCUGGUAGUCCACACAGUAAACGAUGAAUACUCGCUGUUUGCGAUAUACAGUAAGCGGCCAAGCGAAAGCAUUAAGUAUUCCACCUGGGGAGUACGCCGGCAACGGUGAAACUCAAAGGAAUUGACGGGGGCCCGCACAAGCGGAGGAACAUGUGGUUUAAUUCGAUGAUACGCGAGGAACCUUACCCGGGCUUAAAUUGCAUUUGAAUAAUCUGGAAACAGGUUAGCCGCAAGGCAAAUGUGAAGGUGCUGCAUGGUUGUCGUCAGCUCGUGCCGUGAGGUGUCGGCUUAAGUGCCAUAACGAGCGCAACCCUUAUCUUUAGUUACUAACAGGUCAUGCUGAGGACUCUAGAGAGACUGCCGUCGUAAGAUGUGAGGAAGGUGGGGAUGACGUCAAAUCAGCACGGCCCUUACGUCCGGGGCUACACACGUGUUACAAUGGGGGGUACAGAAGGCAGCUACCUGGUGACAGGAUGCUAAUCCCAAAAACCUCUCUCAGUCCGGAUCGAAGUCUGCAACCCGACUUCGUGAAGCUGGAUUCGCUAGUAAUCGCGCAUCAGCCAUGGCGCGGUGAAUACGUUCCCGGGCCU
rnacentral:rRNA from 1 species